CUUGACAUCCAGAGAAUUUAGCAGAGAUGCUUUAGUGCCUUCGGGAACUCUGAGACAGGUGCUGCAUGGCUGUCGUCAGCUCGUGUUGUGAAAUGUUGGGUUAAGUCCGCAACGAGCGCAACCCUUAUCCUUUGUUGCCAGCACGUAAUGGUGGGAAACUCAAAGGAGACUGCCGGUGAUAAACCGGAGGAAGGUGGGGAUGACGUCAAGUCAUCAUGGCCCUUACGAGUAGGGCUACACACGUGCUACAAUGGCGCAUACAAAGAGAAGCGACCUCGCGAGAGCAAGCGGACCUCAUAAAGUGCGUCGUAGUCCGGAUUGGAGUCUGCAACUCGACUCCAUGAAGUCGGAAUCGCUAGUAAUCGUAAAUCAGAAUGUUACGGGGAAUACGUUCCCGGGCCUUGUACACACCGCCCGUCACACCAUGGGAGUGGGUUGCAAAAGAAGUAGAUAGCUUAACCUUCGGGAGGGCGUUUACCACUUUGUGAUUCAUGACUGGGGUGAAGUCGUAACAAGGUAAGCGUAGUGCU
rnacentral:rRNA from 1 species